rnacentral:rRNA from 1 species
UACGGAGGGUGCUAGCGUUGUUCGGAAUUACUGGGCGUAAAGGGCGCGUAGGCGGCCGUUUGCGUCGGAUGUGAAAGCCCGGGGCUCAACCUCGGAACGGCAUUCGAUACGGGACGGCUGGAGACCGGGAGAGGAGAGUGGAAUAGCCAGUGUAGAGGUGAAAUUCGUAGAUAUUAGGAAGAACACCAGUGGCGAAGGCGGCUCACUGGCCCGGUACUGACGCUGAGGCGCGAAAGCGUGGGGAGCAAACAGG